rnacentral:rRNA from 1 species
CCCUUAGAUGUCCUGGGCCGCACGCGCGCUACACUGAUGCAUUCAACGAGUUCUACCUUGGCCGAGAGGCCUGGGCAAUCUUUUGAACCUGCAUCGUGAUAGGGAUAGAUUAUUGCAAUUAUUAAUCUUGAACGAGGAAUUCCUAGUAAACGCAGAUCAUCAAUCUGCAUUGAUUACGUCCCUGCCCUUUGUACACACCGCCCGUCGCACCUACCGAUUGAAUGGUCCGGUGAAGCCUCGGGAUUGUGGCGAGUUCCCUUUAUCGGGAGUUUGUCGCGAGAACUUGUCUAAACCUUAUCAUUUAGAGGAAGGUGAAGUCGUAACA